UUCAUAUUUCUCGCGCGAUUUCAUUUCAAAUUUUCACAUUUUUUAUUAACAUGGUUUGAUGAUUCGACUGACUACUUUUUUUUGUUGGUUUUAUUUCCUUUAACUGUUAACUACUGUGUGUUCUUUCGUGACGUUCUAUACCAUAAUUACUAAGUCAAUACCGGAAAUAAUAACAUACAUAAAAGCGCACACCAUUUAAAACAAAAACCAUUUCGUUUUAAUUUUAUUAUCGUGAACCUACAACUAACCAAUAUAACGAAUAUUUUAUACCAAUAGAUUAUUCCAUAAAAAAAAAAAAAACAGAAAA